rnacentral:lncRNA from 1 species
AAAGUAAGGGUAAAGUAGGAAUAGUCUAAUAAGGAGACUAAGUUUUUAGUGUAAAAAGAGAAUUAGAAGGAAGGAGUUGAGCAAUACAUAGAAUUUUUAGGAGAAAGGAGGAAAAGGAGGCUAGGGCAAGAGAAAGAGCAAGAGAAGAGCAGGAAGAGAGCUAACAUAGAAGGAGAGGAGAACCAAGAGAAUAACGAACCUUUGCUAAUAGGAGAAUAAGGUAAGGGGGAGAAUAACCUUCAAU